CAAUAAGCGGAGGAAAAGAAACUAACAAGGAUUCCCCUAGUAACGGCGAGCGAACCGGGAAGAGCUCAAAUUUGAAAUCUGGCGUCCUACGGGCGUCCGAGUUGUAAUCUGCAGAGGCGUCUUCCGCCCCGGACCGCGUCCAAGUCCCUUGGAACAGGGUAUCAAAGAGGGUGACAAUCCCGUGCUUGACGCGACCCCCGGUGCUAUGUGAUGCGACCUCAAAGAGUCGAGUUGUUUGGGAAUGCAGCUCAAAACGGGUGGUAAAUUCCAUCUAAGGCUAAAUAUUGGCGAGAGACCGAUUGCGAACAAGUACCGUGAGGGAAAGAUGAAAAGCACUUUGGAAAGAGAGUUAAACAGUACGUGAAAUUGUUGGAAGGGAAACGAUUGAAGUCAGUCGUGUCCGAGGGGUUCAGCCGGUCCUGCCGGUGCACUCCCCUCGGACGGGUCAACAUCGGUUCUGUCCGGCGGACAAGGGCAGGGGGAAAGUGGCACCUUCGUGGUGUGUUAUAGCCCCCCGUCGCAUACGUCGGUCGGGACCGAGGAUCGCAGCUCGCCCUCACGGGCCGGGGUUCGCCCACGUCCGAGCUUAGGAUGUUGACGUAAUGGCUUUAAACGACCCGUCUUGA
rnacentral:rRNA from 1 species